CUGCAUGUUAGUAAAUAUGCCCACCAGGAUGGGAGAGACGAUUAGAAUGUACCUAUGCAGAACACACAUCUCAUCUCACAUAAAACAUCUGGGAUUUCAAUUAUUUUUUGAACUAAUUCUGGAAACGGUUACUGCUAUCACCACUCGCCAUCAUGUUGACGGGAUUUGAAGUAUACAUAAGCUGGAGAUUCUAAAUAUCAUUCUGAUUAUCAAAACGAUACAACUACCAACAUCCAAGUUGGGCCGAUUCUUAUUCCAGAUGUAAUGCCUCACAUCUUUAAGUUCCUUGGAGUCCAAGACAUAAAAAAAUGUCGGCUAGUCUGCAAAUCAUGGCAUUACUUUGCUACCCCUGUACUUAAAGCGAAUUCAAUGACCCUGAUUCCAUGUUACCCUGUGGGGGAUGACAACAACGA